UUGUAUAAAAGAAUUAUCCUUUUGAUUCUUCUUUUCGAAUAUGUUGACUCGAGAGCUUGAAAACUUGUUCUCGAAUCAAAAACUGCAAGAGAACUUGUUGGAUGCUGACUCGAGACCUUGAUGCUUGUUCUCGAAUCGGAUGAUGCUAUCCUCUCUCAAUGACUGUGAAAACGAUGGCGGACUUGGUUGGUGUUGACUCGAGGGCACAUUGGCUUGAUCUCGAGUUGAACAAUUCUUUUUUGAUUUGGUAGAAUAAGAAUUUUAUUGCUUGCAACGAACUCUUCACUGGAAUGAAUCUCUAUCAUUGACGCGUGGUAGAGAUUGAUGAAGCUUUGUAGCAAACGAUCGCCUUGAAAUCGAAGGCUUUGGCGAGGAAUUUCUUCGGACUUUAGAAGCUUGAAUUAGAUGAGGUCUCCCUUAUUUGAAGAGCUCUUCCUCUCUUGGCUUGAUGUAGACUUUUUUCUUUCUUUAAUUUGUCAAGUGUUGGAUGAAAACUUGU
rnacentral:lncRNA from 1 species